AAGCUCUCUUGCCUGCCGCCAUGUAAGAUGUGACUUUGCUCCUCGUUCACCUUCCACCGUGACUGUGAGGCCUCCCCAGCCAUAUGGAACUGUUCCCAUCCAAUCACAUGGCACCAGCCCACAUUGAGAGAAGUUCUUCUCCACUCAGACUACUAGCUUCCCCACUGAGAUCACCUCCAGAAAUAUCUUCACAGACACGCCCAGGGCAGUUUAAUCAUUCUAAUCAAAUGCCAAACCAACAAAGUUUCCCUUUCAGCAAAUGAUGAACAGGCUCACUCCCUGCUGAAACAUUUAGAAUAACUAUUGCAAUAAUUGAGAAUAAAUGAUAUUUU
rnacentral:lncRNA from 1 species